AGUAACUUAUUUCCCAUUACUUCUAGUUACUUACUUUUAUGUCUUUGAGGUUUUUAAGACAUGCCAAUAUUUUAUCUUUAUACUAGUGUGUGUGUGUGUGUGUGUGUGUGUGUGUGUGUGUGUGUGUGUGUGUGUUUGUACCAGUACCAGGGCUUGAACUUGGCCUCUUGCUUACACUCCACUUUUUCUCUUGGACUGGCACUCUACCACUUGAGCCAUACGUCCAGUCCAACUUUUUUGCUCAUUAAUUGGAAAUAAAUAGAAUCUCACAGGCUUUCCUGCCCAGACUGGCUUCAAACUGUGAUUCUCAGAUCUCAGUCUCCUAAGUAGCUAAGAUUAGAGAUGUAAGCCACUGGGUUGUAACAUUUUUUUAAAUAAAUUUUAAAGGAAAUUUAUUUUUUUAAUUCUGUGGCUCUCAUAUAAUAAGCCUUUUAUUUUCACUUAUUAAAAAAUGUUCAAUUAUUAAUAGCAGAAGGAUGCAAGACCUUUCUGAGUUAGACCUCUGCUUCUUGGUAUCUUUCAGUAUAGAUUAGCUCUUAUAAUGCUUCUGCAGUCCUUGCCCACGUGUGGCCUGCCCAGCAGAGGGUGGAGGUCAUGGGUAGUGCACAGGUUCGAUAGCUGCCCAUCCUUGCACCUGCCGGCUUUAUUCAAAUCAUGACUCAAAUGAAACUGGAUUUUCUCACCUCAUAUGGUACAGUGUCCACAGCUAGAAAUAUUUUUCAGCGAAGUGGUUAGAGUUGCUGCUGUGGCUCUAAACACCUCUUUGGAAUUUCCAGGUGUUGUACUUUUCAAGCCAGAUGGGGUUUUGGGGGGUUUGUUUUUUUGUUUUGUUUUGUUUUUUUAAGGCCCAUCCAUUCUAAAACUAUAGG